AGGCAUUUGGUCAGACGGAAACCUCACCGGAAAUCAGAUUCAUGAUAAUAUAUCAAAAUUGAGGAACAACUUGGGCAACCCAGACGUCAAUCUUUGUCUCCCGAUCAUUCAUUAUUGUGCUAUAUUUUAUUGGGGUGACUCUGACAUACAUAAAAGCUUCGUCUGCGCUGAAAACCGAAUCUCAUGAGUAUUUUUGGAAGACAAUAGGUUUAGUCUAUAGAAUUACGAGACACUAGAAAUAAAACAAAUGUACCCGUCAUGAGGGCGACGUAGGCCGUGAGCAAGGAGGAUGCACCUUGUACUAGCAAUGUAGCUGAUUGUGAAUCAAGGAGCUGGACCCACCUCUGUGGAUGGGGUCAUUACUAGUGAAAAGUGAGGAAAUUUUUUGCUACCUGAUGUUGCGUAAACCACCAUACUACGUUGACAUGAAUUGUGAAAGAAAAAAAGAUUUCUCAAAGCCUAAUAUUCAUGGAGAUUCCUGAGGAUGAUCUAGCUAAAGUUAUUGAAUUCAUGAAGGCAUAUGGAAAAGGAUUGAAUACGCUUAAGGAUUACUUGUCAUAAAUAUAAGGUUGAUUAUUCUACAUCCAUUGUUCAUUCAUAUGUGGAAAGGGAAUAUGAAAAUGAAAAUAGAUGCAUGGCAAGAUUUUGGAUGAUCGCUACAUAGAAUGGUAUGAAGAUUUCUUUCACUUGGGUAAAAGUAAUUUAUUUGAGCUUCUCUUUGAAGAAUCUCCUCUACAUGAAGAAAAUUACGUUAAACCUACUUUUCUUGAUAUUCUUCUUUUUUACGAUAAUCUCACCCAUGAAGAUGAUAUGGCAAAGGAUUUUGUUUCAAUGGAUAAUAAUUUCUUUGAUCUUCUAUUGGGCAUCAAUGUUGUUCCACGAAUGUUAUUUUUCCCAUCUCAAUAGGUAAUGAACCAUUUUGAUCACAUGUUUAUCAGAGUUAUCUCCAAGCAAAGAAAAUGGAAGUUGAAUAAGAAGAAGAUACAUAGAUGAAAUUCAAUUUGG